rnacentral:rRNA from 1 species
AGAAUCAACGCUGGCGGCGUGCCUAACACAUGCAAGUCGAACGAGAGAGUGGAGCAAUCCAUGAGUAAAGUGGCGCACGGGUGAGUAACACGUGACUAACCUACCCUUGAGUGGGGGAUAAACCUAGGGAAACCUGGGCUAAUACCGCAUAAUACCUUCGGGUCAAAGGAGCAAUUCGCUUAAGGAGGGGGUCGCGGCCGAUUAGUUAGUUGGCGGGGUAAUGGCCCACCAAGACUGUGAUCGGUA